CCGCGGCCUGCCCGGCCGAGCUCUGCCGGGCCAUGGCCGAGCCGCGCCCGGGACUGGCCCUGCGCUUCCAGCGCCGCUUCCUGGCGGCGCGGCCGCUCCGCUCGCUGCCCUGGCCGGAACUCGAACAAAGCCUGCGGACUGCGCCGGACUCCGCGCUGCUGGCGGAUAUUCUGCACAAGACAAUUCUUCACCCCCUGUGUGUGAAAUAUCCCCCUUCAGCCAAGUACAGGAGGUGCUUCCUGACUGAGCUCAUCAAAAAGCUUGAAUCCACAGCAGCUGAACCCCUGGAUGAACUCUAUGAGGCACUGGCAGAUGUUCUAAAAGAAGAAGAAGAAUCUACUCACUGUUACAAAAACUACUUACUGCUUCCCAGGAGAAAAACCCUGGGUGAAGGAAUUUUUUCAGAGAAUGUGAAUGCCACACACCCUGAAGCUUGGAGUGUUUCCUGCCUUUUUCCAGGUGCUCCUAUUGAUUGUAAACUCUCAGUCAUGGCCUGUGCUGAUGCAUCUUUGCCUCCCUGUGUCCCACAGCCCUCGGGGGACUGUGUGAGCCUCUGCGAGAGCACAGCGCUGAUCUCCGGGGGCACCACGGGGCUCCUCACGUGGGAGGCUGCCCUGCACCUGGCCCAGUGGGCCCUGCAGAACCCCGGCCUCUUCAGGGGCAGGACAGUCCUGGAACUGGGGAGUGGGAUUGGCUUCACUGGAAUUGCCAUCUGCAGGAGCUGCCAGCCCAGGACAUUCAUAUUCAGUGACUGCCACCCCCGUGUUCUCAGACAGCUGGGGGAAAACCUCCAGCUGAACGGCCUCACCCCAGAGGGGGUGACCUGCAGCAUCCAAACAGAGUCCCAAGGACAGGAGCUGGAAGGACAGAACUGCCACACCCCAAAAGUGAUUGUUGCUGAGCUUGACUGGGGCUCAGUGACAGAAAAACAACUGCUGGCUCUCAGAGCUGACAUUGUCAUUGCAGCAGAUGUGGUGUAUGAUCCUGAGAUAAUUUUAGCCCUCAUUGGGAUGCUACAGAAACUCUCCACCUCCAGGGCAGACAGGAAAGCUCCUGAGGUGUUCAUUGCCUCCACAAUCCGAAAUCCAGACACGUAUCAGCUGUUCCAGGCUGAGCUGGAUAAAGCUGGGAUCAGGUGGCAGGUGAUCCCAGCCCACAGCAGCUGUCAUUUUCUCUAUGAUGAGCAGCCAGAUGUAACUAUUCUACAGCUAUUUAUAUAGGCUUGGCAGACAGAACUGGAAUUUUGAAACCAACAGGAGCUGUCUCAGCCUCGUAACAAGAUUAUCCUGAAUUCUGGAAACGAGGUUCUGAGGAUACAGCUGGACACAUGGAGUCCCUCCUCUUAAUUCCCAGCAUGGAUCCAAGCCUGCAGCUGCCCCUGGGAAGUGACUGAACCUCAAGCAACAGAAACCAAAAAGCUUUAAUCACACUUGACUUGAUUCUGUAGAAGACAGCAGAAUUCAAGCAGGGCUUUUUCCCAACUGUGUUGUGAUUUGACUGCCACUUCCACAGUGGCUGCUGGCAAUCCAGGCAGGGCUGGCAAUGAAAAAGGAAUUGCUCUCCAUAGCAGUGUUCCAGGUGUCCUGCAAGGAGGAAGGACUGAGCUCUGAAACUUCCAUCAUCCAUUAAUCCCUCUCCUGUUGGGCAGCAUUAGUCCUGAAGCACAAAACUCAAAGUGAUGCUCAUUCUUCUCUUUUAGCUUCCUUUUCUCUAUUAAAAACUACUUAAAAUUAAAUAAAAAAACUUCAACCUCCUCCUCCUGUAGCAAUGGAGAGAAAACUGA